AAGAAAAUAUAAAGAGAAUUCUAUUGUGAAUAUAAAAUAAACAAUAUAAUAAUUGAUUUUUAUUUAUAUAAAAUAAGUAUACAUAUAAAUUAGUGGGAUCAUUUAUUUACAUAAAAUUUUAAUGGGACCAUUUAUUUACAUAUAAUUUUCAAAAAGAAAAUAUUAUCUUAUUAUUUUAUCGAUUUAUAUCAAAUUUUGAACCGGUCUAAGUUGGAACCGGUAAAAUUUAUUAAUUUUUUUUUGAUUAACCUGGGGGUAUCCCAGGCCCAUGGAGAAGCCCUGACUAAUUCCCAAGGGGAGGUGCAGUCCACGAAUAGACAUUCUCUCCGGGUAUUCAAAUGGGCCCCAAAGCAUAGGCUCAUAUCCGUGUUAGGUGACCGGGAUAAUUGUGACUUAGUUUUGCGCAGCAUGGAUCGAACCUGAAACGUGUUGGCGUCUCAGUCCCGUCUCCUUACCAUUCGACCACAAUCACCUGGUCAAAAAAUUUAUUAAUUUAUAGAGAUUAUUAAUUAACCGAGUAUUAAUUUAUAGAGGUUAUACUGUAUAGUGAAAAAUAAUGAAACAUUCUAUAGGAUAAUUAAUAAACAAAAUAAUUCUCUAAGAGAAGCGAAUUGAGAUGGACAGAUCGUGUCUAACGACAAGCAUGUUUCAACCAACGAUGUACUUUAGCGACUCACGCAAUCUAAUAACUUCACAAAUAAAUUACAUGUUCUUUUGCUUAUUACAAGAUACAUACCGCAUUUUAUGAUAGAAAUAUUACGUAAACGCACACAUUUUAUGUAAGUAGAAAUAAUAUGAUUGUAUAUGAAGAAAAAUCUUGAUUUAUUGCAGUUUUUAUGUAUAUAGAAAAUCUCUAAGAUGCGAAUUAUAUUUUGCAUGUUUAAAUCACCAUCCAUUAUUCUAUCUACCAAAAGUACAUUCCUAUUCAUGAUAUAUAUCCAAUAUAAUUUUCACUCCAUUAAUCGCGUUGCUUUGAACGCUCAAUUGUUUUAUAUUCAUUAGUGGAUUCCCUAAGAAAAAAAAAAUUAAAUAUUUUAUUAGAAUCUUUAAUUUUGACCAAUUAGAACAUGGUAAUCCAUCGUAAGUAGCAUCGUUAUAGUUUGUAUAUAUUCCGUUUUUUAGAAAGUAUGCAAGGAACCGGGCCUCGUAGUCUGGUGGUAAAUGAACAUCGGCUGAGGUGUCCGUCAUCACGAGUUCGAACUCCGGCCACAGCAGAUUUAACAUGGUUUCCGUUUGGCCUCCAGGACUUUUUUCGCCAGUUCCGGUUGGAUACGGUUGGAUACGGUAGGAUAGUCGGAUUAAGUGAGAGGUCCGGAUACUUGGAUUAUAAAAAAAAAAAUAUGCAAGGAAUAGUUAUGGUCUUUUCUAUAAACUAAUACUAUCAAACUGCAAGGAAUAGUUAUGACCUCUUUUUGGGAUUAAGCUGGCCAUUCAAUAGAUCCGAGAUAUGUUAAUAAUAAUAAAAGUAAAAGCCUACAUGUAACUAUCUAAAGUGAAGCAUAUUAAGUAUUUGAUUUAUAGAAACUAAUUUAUACAUUCAACUUGACGUUGUCACCAUUCAUACUUCUUUUUGGUAUGAUAAGUGGUGUGAUUUGGGCGUUCUGGCUGAGAUACUUGGAGACAGAGGUAUCAUAGAUAUGGGUGUUCGUAGGGAAGCAACGGUAGUAGAAGUAUUAAAUAAUCAUCGGAGGAGAAGGAGGCAUAGGGGAGCUUCUCUUCAAGAUAUUGAAAAAGAGCUGGGGAAACUUGCUGAGAAGCAGAGUAAUUCAGAGUUGGACAAAGAUCUGUGGCGCUGGUCCUCGGGGUUUAAGCAAAAAUUCUCUACCAUGGAGACUUGGCAGUUGAUAAGAGAGACGGGGCUACAGUGUGACUGGGGAAGCAGGGUCUGGUUCUCCAAAGCUACUCCAAAAUUCGCUUUCAUAACCUGGCUUGCUUUCAAAGAUAGACUUUCAACUCUGGAUCGCGUCUCUCGUUGGAGUCAAGGAAUUGACACUACAUGUGUACUCUGUAAGAAUGCUCCGGAAACGCGAAGCCAUAUUUUCUUUGAAUGUGCUGUUUCCUCUCAUAUUUGGGAGCAGCUCACCAAAGGGAUAAUGCGCAAUUCCUAUUCUAACUCAUGUGAGACUGUAAUGCGAUUGAUCUCGGCUAGCAUGGAGAAGAAGAAGCGUUUCUGCAUCAAUUAUGCUCUUCAAGUAGCUAUGUAUUUCUUGUGGAGGGAACGAAACAAGCGGCGUCAUGGGGAACCACCGAUGCCACUGUCUGUUAUGCUCAAGCUCAUUGAUAAGACCAUCCGAAAUAAACUCAGUUUGGUGCAGGGGAAACGAGUAAAGGGUCUUGAAGAAGUGCUGCAGUUCUGGUUUAGUACAAGACUGUAAAUACUUUAGACAGACUAGGAGUUUUGGAAAUUGUAUAGAGAUAUGAGUAGUUCCUCAUAAACAAGGUUUCACUUGAUGUACAAAGGUUUUUUGAUGAAUAAAUUUAGCAUUCAUUCAAAAAAAAAAUAUUUUAUUUUAUUUUACAUUUAAAACACAAGCUUUCAAAGGAAGAAAAGGUCAUGAGAUUCUUUUUUUUUCCUUGUAAAAGAAGGUCAUUAGACUCUGGUUGGUUAACUUGAUAAUUGAUACCAAACAAAAAAGGAAUCAAAAAGGAAGAUAAAUGAGCUGUUGCUUUGGAAGCGUGUAUAAUCUCGCGAGAAGUCAUUAACAGAGCUACAAUGUGAACGUGCUUUCUACAACGUCAUGCCUCUUGUUACAUCAAACCGCGUUAUUGAGUAUUUGAAUUCUAAUGAUCUAAUCUAUUUUUCUUAAGCUCCGAUUCUAUAAUCUAAAAAACUAGUAUAUAGUUGGUGAAUGAUACUUGGUCAAACAUUAAGUUCAAAAUAAUAUACCACUUGCCUCUCUCGUCGUUGAUGUUUUCUAAUUUGUUGUAUUAUCGGUCUGUAUAUUAUAUAUACACACGAGGAUAUAUAUUUUAGUUAUCCGAAAAGAGAAAAACCAUUGAUAAAAUGACACAUCACAUGUAAGCUAGGAGAAAUCUAAAGCGAAUGCGACAUUACAUUUACAGAAAAUGACUUCCAUUUUGUCUUUGUGUAUAUCACAACUAUUAGUAUAAGAUGUCAAAAUUUUAUUACGUUACAAUUACGAAAUCAUGACGGUCAUUACCAAAACAAAAAGCCUCGUUAUCCCACUAGCCCUCUUGUGGCAUAACAUAAGGCAAUAUUUUCCCCAUUCCAUAUAAGCCCUUUUAUUUGGCUUAACUCAUUAUUUUUAAAUCCGAUCCUCGGUCGAACCAGGAACCCUAUGAUCCAAUAUGUAAGGAAAACCCCGUUAUUUAAGGAGAUGGUGGAUGGCUUUUAUUGAAGUUUUGUAAUUUUUUUUUUUAACUAAACUAGCCCAUAGCUUUUUUCAUUAAAUUUCCAAAGAUGAUGAAAAAAAAAACAUUGAUGGUAUUAUUUCAAGUCUUAAUUGAACGUUCUGAGUUUUCUUUUAAUCGUAUAUAAAUACCGAUUAUAUUAUUUGAUAUGUCAGUUUUCAGUAGUCAGUUUUCAGUAAUCAGUGGAUCGCUAUUGUCGAAGAUCCAUUGUUAAUUUCAGUAAUCCUUGGAAUUUUCUAUCUCAAAUCACUUGAUGUGGAAUGUGGAACAUUACAUAUAUCUCAAUGGUAGUCUCCAAGGUGGUUUCCGGUGAUAGAAAAAGUUAAAUCUUAAAAUUGAUCUCAAUGUGGAUCAUCAUCAUAAACGUACCAUACUAAAUGUAUCCUUAGAAGGAAUUAAGGUAUCUUACGAUGCGGUGGGAGACCCUAAAUGCUUCCAUCAGAACACAGAGCUGUAUAAAAUUUCUAAAUGAUCAAAGUAUUUGUUGAAUCAGACUUGUCUAAGGAAUUACCCACGUCUUUUCGAAUUGAUGCAAUAGUCGAUUUUAGUUACCCAUUGCGUUCGACAGGAUGCACUGCAUGUUCUAAAUGGGUGGGGCAUAGGUUGUAUUCAUUUGUAAUCAGUAAGAGCCAAGAAACAGAGAUACAUUAUGAACAAAUCAUGUGUUUGCAUAAUAGCAGUGCAAUAAAACCAAUCUCUUAUUAUUGGCAAAUAAUCACAUCUCAAAACUGGAGUGCAGUGUGUGACACGAAUUGGUGGAAUAAAGAAAAAAAUUGUUUUUAAUUAAGUCCUCUCCACAACCAUAGGCUUUGCCAUAGGAUCCAUGCUCUUUUAAGAAUUAUAUUUGUAAUUUUUUUUAUUUUCAAGAUAAUUUUUCCAAAAUAUGGCUACUCUGCCAACAAGAUUUAUAUAUAUAUAUAUAUAGAAAAUUGGAAAAACGAGACAUUCUCAAUUUGGAUUCGUCUAACUAAUACUUUGUCUAAUAUUUUUGUCUUUCUAGGAUUUUAAUUAAUAUUAAUACGAUUAUGCCCUUAGAUUAAUCAAAAUUUAACUUGAUUAAAAAAUAUAAUAAUUGUUAAUUGUUUUGUUAAUACAAUUUUGUCAGUAAAAAAGGAAGUUAAAAAAAAAAAGAAGCAAAGCACGGUAAACCUAAAAAUCUUGACUUCCUUCUCUCAUCUUCUUCGCUUCCAGACGAAAGCUUACCUCUUUCAUCCAUGGUGAUUUCUUCUCCCUCUUCUUCAUACGAUUAAAAUCCAUCGUCUCUGUUUUAUAUUUCUUCUUCUCUGUCUCUUAUUCUAUGUUUUUUUUUCUCUGUUUUUUCUUCCUCAUAUUUGUUCUUCCUCUUUUCUGAUUGUUCGGAUUCUUUUCCUUUCACUCAGUUUUUUAUGAGGUUAAGUACAGUCUUGAUGCUUGAAGAGAGACAAGCUGGAACCUUUCAAGCGCCCAAGAUCUUUCUACGCUUUGAUUGAACACUUUGUACCAUUUUUUUCCAAAGUGAAUAACAAUUGUGUAUUUGUGUUUAUUCCAAGAGCCAGGAACAUAUUCCUCUUAUUGUUAACUAAACCGACGAAGUUAAACCAAUAAUGUAAUUUCAUUGAUGUUUUACUAAACACUGUGCAUAAAUAACAAACUUUGUUACAGCUCUUACACAUAAGGGAUAGCAAAGAUUGGAAAACUGUUUUUUUUGUUCAUGAAAUUGAUACAAUAAAAGAAAAUAUGUUCUGCACACAAAAAGAUCAUUGAUCUCUGUGGCGCUGUUCCAGUCCCCAAUGGUACUAUUUGACCACACAUUUCCUCGUCAGCCAAAAAACUCCACUUCUCACAACAAUGAGAUAUCCAUAUUUUGGGAGGAAAAAAAACGUGGGAGAAAAGAUACUCUGAGAGAUUUUAGGGUAGAUUUAGAGUAGAAUUAGGAAAGACAGUUUUUGAAAUAUGAAAAUUUAACCGAAUAUGGAAGUUUCCAUAUUUUCACGAUUUGCCUAGAAUAUGUACACUACCUAAGCAGAACACCGUAUAGUUGGUGAGAGAUGUAUUCUUCAUGUAGGCGUCAUAUAAGGUAAAAGGCAGAACAAGUUAUGUCACGUAAUAUAACCGACCUAUAUCAUCGAGUUGUGACUAUAUAUCAUUAUCAAACUGUAGGUAUACUGAAGACAUCUUUCUUGAUUAUAACGUAACCGAAUCUAUCUUUGCUAGAAUAUACAAGAAAGGGUAGUUUACGGUAUAUACCUAUGAUAUAUCUAUGUUUAAAACUUAGAAUCAGACAUAUAAACUAGGUAGAUUAACAGAAUGACUAUUUUAACUGUAGCUAGAAGAUAAAAUAAAAUCUGAUUCCAAUUUUUUUUUAAAAAAGUUUAAACAUAUAUAUUGUAAUACUUAUGUUUCCAACUCUUUUCAUAUUUUUUUACAUUUUUAAAAUUCAAUUUACUAUUUUUCCCAUUAGAAAAUGGUAAAACAUGUUCAGAAUUGCCAAAAGUAUAAAAAGUCUUAUUGUGACAAACAAAAGUUCAAAGUGUCUCAUUUUUCUAAUUCUCCAAAGUAGCAACACUUAAAUCCAAAGUCAUUAAACAUCGAAAUGAUGUAGUAGUUAUCUUAUUUUCCUCCUCAAAAUACACCUACAUGAGAUCACAUUAGUUCAUCUUCAGAUUCAAACUCAAUGUGGAAGGCAGAAUCUUCGCCAUCUUCAUCAAAAAGUUCAUCUUUUUCUCCUUGUCCCACCUCCACAAACCACUCCUCUACAUUUUCCCCAUCAUCACCUAUGAGCACAUCAUAUUAAAAUAAGCUUAGACUUUUUUCUCUUUAAUAAAACAUAUUUUAGGCAUUUCCUCUUUAAAUGCUAUUUUGGUCAUAGUCAUAGUUUUAUUAUGUUUUAAGAGAUUUGCAGUUUUGUUUUCAAAAAAAAAAAACUAAUAAAAACCUAGUCGAUAGAGGAAGCCAAUUUGAAAGUCUAAACUGAAGUAGAAUAACAAACAUAGUACACAACUGAAAGAGAACUUUGAGCAACUCUGUAAGUUUGUUCGUCAUUGUAUUUUUUGUUCUUGGAUUGUGCUGGAGUGAGAACUGAGGAAAGAACGUCUUACAUUGUUCAAUUUCCUCCAAAAGUGGUACAAAAGCUGGUCAUUCCAUUGGUGCAGACACUAUAUUCACCAACUGAGAACAAUUUGUUGCAAACAUCAUCUUCAUAUACAUUUCAUUAUCUAAAUCAAGGCUUCACAUUCAUCAUGUAAAUGUGAUAGCUAUGUCGAAUAGUCAUAGACCCCAUGAUUUUGGUAGUUGUCUCCUCUGUAAAGGAGAACCAUCAUUGACCCAAUUUUUGAAAGAGUAGAAGAUGAAAACCAUGUAAUGAAAAACUUGCAAAACAAAAUAAAUUAGUAAGAAAGACA